rnacentral:rRNA from 1 species
AGUUCGGAUCGCAGGCUGCAACCCGCCUGCGUGAAGUUGGAAUCGCUAGUAAUCGCGCAUCAGCCAUGGCGCGGUGAAUACGUUCCCGGGCCUUGUACACACCGCCCGUCAAGCCAUGGAAGCCGGGAGUGCCUGAAGUGCGUGAGCGCAAGCAGCGCCCUAAGGUAAAACCGGUGACUGGGGCUAAGUCGUAACAAGGUACC